GUCCACUUAAAACGGCAGAAACACAUGGCUUCUCGGGCUGUAUUAACGUGAGCCUGUGUCACCACUGGCUGCAGAAGGAUCCGACUGUGUCCUUUUCACCAAGACUUUCUGAAUGUGCUCUUAAAAAUCUUGGAGCCAACCUGUGACAACCAGAGGAAAAACGGGACUGGACAACAGAGCGUGUGGCGUCAAGGCAGUUGUGUAAAGAGAUGAGCUUCCAGUUCUAACAUCCUUGUUAGAAGAAGCAAGUGGAACCAAGUGAGGACAAAAGAGACUGAGCAGCUCUUACUGGGAAGGUACUUCUAAGC